CGGCCGCCAUUCAGCCAGAAGAAGCAGCGAGCCAGCGGAGACCGGCAGCCAACCAAGGGCGUCGUCGCUCCACCAUGGAAUCAGCUGCUGAUAUGCUCGAACACGACCUGCAAGCUUCAUGUAUCUGCAACACCCCUGCUCCUCAUCCACGACCCAAGUGACCUGAAAGAGCAAGCUGCUGCAGAGGGCAAUCCUCGAUAUCUAAGAAGACCUCGGGCUUAUUAGGGGAAGAGAGCUCGUGCCAGAUCCACUCCCAACUGCCUCCGUCCACCAUGGACGA
rnacentral:pre_miRNA from 1 species